UACGUAGGGGGCAAGCGUUGUCCGGAAUUACUGGGCGUAAAGGGCUCGUAGGUGGCCAACUAAGUCAGACGUGAAAUCCCUCGGCUUAACCGGGGAACUGCGUCUGAUACUGGACGGCUUGAGUUUGGGAGAGGGACGCGGAAUUCCAGGUGUAGCGGUGAAAUGCGUAGAGAUCUGGAAGAACACCAAUGGCGAAGGCAGCGUCCUGGGAAGUGACUGACGCUCAUGUGCGAAAGCUAGGGGAGCGAACGGGG
rnacentral:rRNA from 1 species